AUGCCUUCCUCCAAAAGGAUUGUGGUGAUCUCUCCUGGUUUGCUGCAUGUAGACACUUCAGUGGUGAACAUUCAGAACGGGCAGAAUCCAUCUGGCUCUACAAGUGUCCUGCCUUUUGUGGUAGGAGUGCAGCCAGGCAGCCAGCCUCCCAGAAUGAACCCAGCUACCAUGGCAGCUUCCACGAACCACCACACACAGGUCAAAGAUGCCAGCACUCAAACUGUCCCGCUCAGUGGUACUAGUCCUCUGGGCAGUCAGAACUCAGUGUGGGGAGGGCAGAUGCUUGCCAUCUCCCAGAACCCUCUUGCCAUUGUCGAGAAGCUGGAUGCACUACAUUCAGAGAUCCAGAAACUGACUCACACCAUGCAGGCUGUGCUAGAGAGGCAGUGCAGCAUGGAGCGCCAGCAGGACCAGCAGCAGCGUUUCCAGCAAGAAGUGCUUAUGAUGCUUCAGCAGCUCAGCUCCACAGUCAGCCACGGAGCAGUGCCAGGAAACCAGCCCUGUGUCCCUUUCAGCAGCAUGGCAGAUCCUUCACCCACUGUACCAAACUUCAGCCAGUUCAAGAUGGAGAUCAUCUAA
rnacentral:lncRNA from 1 species